AAGACUUUAGAUAUGAUCCAGAGUACCACGGGACACGUGAAACCCUGUGGGAAGCAGGAGGGACCACCCUCCAAGGCUAAAUACUACCUAGUGACCGAUAGCGUAUAGUACCGUGAGGGAAAGGUGAAAAGAACCCCGGGAGGGGAGUGAAAUAGAACCUGAAACCCUGCACUUACAAGCUGUGGAAGCACAUUUCUUGUGUGACCGCGUACUUUUUGUAGAACGGGCCAACGAGUUACGUUAAGUAGCAAGGUUAAGCACUUAAGGUGCGGAGCCGUAGCGAAAGCGAGUUUUAACUGAGCGUUCAGUUACUUGACGUAGACCCGAAACCGGGCGACCUACCCAUGAGCAGGAUGAAGCGAAAGUAAAAUUUCGUGGAGGUCCGAACCCACGAGCGUUGAAAAGCUCGGGGAUGACUUGUGGGUAGCGGUGAAAUUCCAAUCGAGCCCGGAGAUAGCUGGUUCUCCCCGAAAUAGCUUUAGGGCUAGCCUCAAGGUGAGAGAUACGGAGGUAGAGCACUGAAUGUCCUAGGGGGUAUUGCACCUACCGAAGACUAUCAAACUCCGAAUGCCGUCAUCUUAUACUUGGGAGUCAGACUGUGGGUGAUAAGAUUCAUAGUCGAAAGGGCAACAGCCCAGAUCGUCAGCUAAGGUCCCUAAAUGUAAGUUAAGUGGUAAAGGAUGUGGGAUUGCACAGACAACCAGGAUGUUGGCUUAGAAGCAGCCACUCAUUCAAAGAGUGCGUAAUAGCUCACUGGUCGAGUGAUCCUGCGCCGAAGAUUUCCGGGGCUAAAACUUACUACCGAAGCUACGGCAUCAGUAAUGAUGGGUAGGGGAGCUUCCCAUACGGGUUGAAGCAUGACCGUAAGGACAUGUGGACAGUAUGGGAGUGAGAAUGUUGGCAUGAGUAGCGAGAUGUGGGUGAGAAUCCCACAGGCCGUAAACCCAAGGUUUCCAGGGGAAGGUUCGUCCGCCCUGGGUUAGUCGGGACCUAAGCUGAGGCCGAAAGGCGUAGGUGAUGGACAACAGGUUGAU
rnacentral:rRNA from 1 species